rnacentral:rRNA from 1 species
AUUGAACGCUGGCGGCAGGCCUAACACAUGCAAGUCGAGCGGAGCGGCGGACGGGGGAGUAAUGCCUAGGAAUCUGCAUGGUCGUGGGGGAUAACGUCAGGAAACGGGCGCUCAUACCGCAUACUAUCAGAUGAGCCUAGGUCGGAUUAGCUAGUGGGUGGGGUAAAGGCCUACCAAGGCGACGCUCCGUAACUGGUCUGAGAGGAUGAUCAGUCACACUGGAACUGAGACACGGUCCAGACUCCUACGGGAGGCAGCAGUGGGGAAUAUUGGACAAUGGGCGCAAGCCUGAUGCAGCCAUGCCGCGUGUGUGAAGAAGGUCUUCGGGUUGUAAAGCACUUUCAGUUGGGAGGCGUUACCAACAGAAUAAGCACCGGCUAACUUCGUGCCAGCAGCCGCGGUAAUAC